UACGUAGGGCGCAAGCGUUUGUCCGGAAUCAUUGGGCGUAAAGAGCUCGUAGGCGGCCUGUUGCGUCCGCUGUGAAAUCCCGGGGCUUAACCCCGGGCGUGCAGUGGAUACGGGCUGGCUGGAGGCAGGCAGGGGAGAACGGAAUUCCCGGUGUAGCGGUGAAAUGUGCAGAUAUCAGGAGGAACACCGGUGGCGAAGGCGGGUCUCUGGGCCGAUACUGACACUGAGGAGCGAAAGCGUGGGGAGCGAACAGG
rnacentral:rRNA from 1 species